CGUCUGAAAGCUCAUAUGCCGUUCUUCCUUAGUACUGCAGAUUUAGAGAAGUUUCUUUGCCGCUCAUUGUUAGUGUAAGUACUAGGUUACACAAAAAAGCACUCGAUACGUUGUAGCUUUCUUUAAUUAAUAGCUGCAAGAUUUACAUGGGCCACUCUAUCUCCUGGACACUCCAUAAUCAAUUAUAUCUGAAAAAAUUAAGAGGAGUACAAAUUAAAUUGUUCGAUUUAAAAUUGAAAUAAGAAUGCUUUGAAAGAAAGAGGUAACCACAUUUUGCUGUUGAAUUGAACGAUAAUAUGGAUUGAAAAUUAAGCAUAAGUAAGAAGGUUAGAGAGGAUGCAUUUCUUCACUUACAAGCCAAUUUGCUUCCGGAUAGACUAUGGUAUCAAAAAUUCCACCAAAA